rnacentral:tRNA from 1 species
GGAGCGAUGUCCGAGCUGGCUGAAGGAGCACGCCUGGAGAGCGUGUAUGGGGGCAACCCCAUCGUGGGUUCGAAUCCCACUCGCUCCGCCA